CGUGUAGGCGGCCCGUCAAGUACCUUGUGAAAUCCCUCGGCUCAACCGGGGAAUGGCUGGGUAUACUGACGGGCUUGAGGUUGGUAGGGGUGCCUGGAACUCUAGGUGGAGCGGUGAAAUGCGUAGAUAUCUAGAGGAACGCCCGUGGCGAAAGCGGGGCACUGGGCCACACCUGACGCUAAGACGCGAAAGCGUGGGGAGCAAACGGGAUUAGAUACCCCGGUAGUCCACGCCGUAAACGAUGCGCACAAGGUUCACGAGACUCUGACGUCGAGUGAGCCGAAACAAAAGUGUUAAGUGCGCCGCCUGGGGAGUACGGCCGCAAGGCUAAA
rnacentral:rRNA from 1 species